AAAUGGUGUCAAGUUCUAACUUCAACAUGGCGUCGUGAAAACGCAAGUUUCGCAUUAGUGUUCAACGGUAAUAUACGACGCGGAGCAAGUCUCAGCUCAUCAGUUCUAUUUCGGCUUCCAACCGAAGAGGAUGUCCGGCGAAGAGGCGUGACACCUCGUCACGACGUCAGUAAAUCAGCGAACGUCAAAUGGCACGUACAGUGGACGCAAGGUAUUUGCAGACACCGAGAGAAUGGCUGUGGCCGAGUUUUCUCAUACGGCCAUGUUUUGUGCAAUUCCUGUGUGAAAUGCAUCUUUUUCCCCUCAAUUUUGUUCAUUUCUGGCUGAACGUGUACCACCCAAGGCCAUAACAAUCAAGGAAGAAGAAGAAGAAUGCCGAAGUUGAAUAAGGCUGUCAAGCUGAUGUCCUGAAACUUCAUAAAGUUACCCAUAUUGAGGUGAAGGAAAUAAUCUGCCUGUGGCUGCAACAGAGCAAAACAAGAGUAAUGAGAGGUAAAACUUUUGUUAUUCUAACAACUUUAUUUUAACAACUUUUUUAUUGUAACAUUGAAAGUUGUCCAUGAUUGUAUUUUUGGCUAGUUGCCUUUUAUAUACAAAAAAAUUAAUUUUGAAUUUUAUUUUACAAUUUUCAAUUCUGGUAGUGGAAUUUAGAUUUCCAGAUUUUUGUCUUAUAAAAAAUUAAGAACUACAGACUUUCAUUACAUGAUAUUUCUCAUCUGUGUAUUUCUGCAACAAAAAUUAAAAUAAAAUAUGUUUGGUUUUCGAUUCAGUACUGCUUAAUUUAACAUUUGUUGAAUUUUAUUUGGAGCACAGCAUAGUUUUUAACUAUGUAGUUUCUUUUUCUGCAAUGUGAUGAUAAAUUUACGUAUGUGUUAAUACUAGACUAGGAUACAAUGAAACCCCUUAUUUGCACUGUUCGUGGGCACAAAGUAAAAAAGUGUAAAAUAAGGGAAAUGUAUGGAAAAUCAUUUUUUGUCAAAUAACUGUCAUAUUAUACAACCUAAACAUAUUGCACUAUCAUAUAAACAUAACUAUUCCUUAUUAUGAGUGUCUGAAGCAUAUCUAAAAAUAAUAAUUGACAUUUAAUCUUUAAUCUCUUAUUUACAUUCUGUAAAGUGUAGGUAAGCAUCUAUAAAAUACAUACGUACUUUCAUACUGUAGUUGGCAAUUCAUAUCAGAUGUUUGCAGAUUAAGAAUAUUGAUAAAAAUCAAGGUCAUUAGAUACCAGGUCGUCUCAACAGAAGAAAAACGAGUUUGGUCGUUCGGGUGUUUCCGUGAUAUGACGUAUCCGCUAGACCUUCAAAGUAAACAAAACUGUGAAAUUGCGUGCUUGUUUUGAUUUUGUUUUCGUGCUGUGGUUUAGUAAUGUAAAAAUGCCUGCUGUUGAGAAGAAAUUGGUUGCUUCAUUUGUAAGAAUAAGGACUUUUUUAAGAUUGAAUCAUUUCAAUCGACAGCUAAGUAAAAAACGUGUUGGAAGAAGCAGCAACAAAGUGUGCAAGAAAAUGAAAAAAAAUUGUAACAUAAAUAGUAGGCUAAUAGAUUUUUUGAAGGAAGUGUCAUUUAAUUUAGAUUUAGCAAAAAAAAAUUGUGGGGUGUGUUUGGAGUGAUAGUAAUCUUUUGUAUUUCAUAUGAAAUAAUUUACAUGUAAAUUGCAGUCAUGGAUAAUUUCAGGAUGUGUGUUUGCUACAGAAUUGUACAAAAACUUAUGACUUGGCAAGAUAGAACUUCUAAAACUGUUUGACAGGACUAAAUGUUAUUGGAUGUAUUAUGUUUGUAGGAAAACAAUAAGGCUCCUGAUAUUGCUCAUCGUUCAUUGAAUAAAAGCAUGUUUGAUGUGAACCACA